GCUUCCCAGAACCACACGACGCAGCCGUGAGGAUGGGGCCCCGGGGCCCCGGGGCCCCGCCUGUCGUUGCGUCUCUCUGCCGUUUCCUUAUGACGUAAAGGGCCCUCCUGAUGUAGUCCUAGCAGCUGACACUGACACGGGGCUUUUACACACGAUGACACCUAACUAUCGGGACAGGCUUGUGAGACACUGUCGCUGCCACCAUAGAGAAGGGGACACUGAGGGCUGGCGAGGCCGCGUGGCCGUGCUAGAAGGGGAAGCUGAGGCCUGGCGAGGCCGCGUGGCCGUUACAGAAGGGGACACUGAGGAUUGGGAAGGCCAAGAGGUCGUUAAAGAUGGGCAAACUGAGGCUUGGCGAGGUCACGUGGCCAUUAUAGAUGGGGAAACCGAGACUUGGCGAGGUCAAGUGAUCGUCACCAAAGUGGAAACUGACGAUUGGGAAGGUCAAGAGGAAACUGAGGAUUGUCAAGUGAUCGUCACCGAAGAGGAAACUGACGAUUGGGAAGGUCAAGUGAUCGUCACCGAAGAGGAAACUGAGGAUUGUCAAGUGAUCGUCACCAAAGAGGAAACUGAGGAUUGGGAAGGUCACGUGGCCGUUACAGGGGGGGAAACUGAGGCUUGGGAAGGUCACGUGGCCGUUACAGAAGGGGAAACUGAGGCGUGGAGCGGUCAAGUGGCUGUUACAGAAGGGGAAACUGAGGCUUGGCAAGGUCAAGUGGCCGUUACAGAAGGGGAAACUGAGGCUUGGCGAGGUCAAGUGGCCGUUACAGAAGGGGAAACUGAGGCUUGGCGAGGUCACGUGGCCGUUACAGAAGGGGAAACUGAGGCGUGGAGUGGUCAAGUAGCCGUUACAGAAGGGGAAACUGAGGCUUGGCAAGGUCACGUGGCCGUUACAGAAGGGGAAACUGAGGCGUGGAGCGGUCAAGUAGCCGUUACAGAAGGGGAAACUGAGGCUUGGCGAGGUCACGUAGCCACUUCAGAAGCAGAAACAGAGGCUUGGCAAGGUCACGUGUCUGUUAUAGAAGGGGAAACAGGCUUGUCGAGGUCAAGUAGCCAUUACAGAAGGGGAAACUGAGGCUGGAUAAGAUUGAAAUUCAUCUAAUUUAAGUGUCUGAGGUAGGAUUGGGUCCAGAACUUCCUGAUUAAGUCAUGAUGCCUCUUCAGAAAAGAAAGCGCACCCUGAUGUAGGCUCUCUGGGUACCCAGUGCCCCUCAUGGCAGAAGCGUCAUCAGCUAGAGCAGAGGGGCCUCUCUGCCACCUCCACCCAGAUGCUUGGGAGAAAGGGGCUCUUAGUCUUAGGACUGACAGAGUCACUGCUGACUGGCCUGUGAGGAACUACGGGUGGUCUGAGCUCAGCAGAUCCAGUGGCCUCCAUGGGCAUCACCAAGUUAUGAUGUGGCAACAAAGAGCUGGACAGCAAGCCCAACAAAAAAGGGCCCUUUCCCAACCCCUGAGCCUCCAUGGGUCAGUCCCGGCUCCAGGAAGAGCGUCAGAAAUGCUCACUGGGCAUCUCGGAGAGCUGGAGAACCAGCUGAAUGAGGUGAGAUGAAGAAAAAGAGAGAGGAGAGGGAAUUAAUAACCUAUUCAGAACAUGGCACACUAAACGAUAUCAAACAAAGUAUGGUAGCCAUCCU
rnacentral:lncRNA from 1 species